rnacentral:lncRNA from 1 species
UGGAGAGGAAGGAUAAACAGACAGAUAACUGUUUGGAGGAAAUCCAAGUGAAGCCAUCGGAGCUGUAAAGAACCACUCACAGUCUUCAUCUUUCCUGCUCUGAUUUAUGUGAUGUCAUGAUGAUGUCACCACACCGUCAUCACCCUGAUGGGGGUUGCACAGUCUGUGGUGUUCAAGAGGCAAAGUGGAAUGACAGAGCAAACAGGAAGCAGUGGGCAGCGCUCCAGCUCUGAUUGGUCACAGCAGCUCGAUUUGGGACAAGUGACAAAGAACGCAGGAAGGAGACGGAAGUGGACGGAAGUGGAGAGAUUAUUCAAGAUUUAAGAUUACCGAACGGGUGUACGUGUGUGACAGCAUGUUGAUAAUAUGAGAGGGAGGCUCCUGACAGAAACCUGCUAAAGUUCUGGCUCAGCUGUCGUUCUCAGACCGUUGUGAAACAGUCAGCACAUUCCCAGCCUGAACGCUGUCAGACACACAACACAGCCUGGUUGUUAAUAUUCAAAAAAUAUAAAUAAAUUCAUAAUUUAUGAUGAUUGAUAAUAAUUC